rnacentral:misc_RNA from 1 species
UCCCCUCUCAAGCCUGGCUUGUUGUUGGACUCCAGGUCCGGGUUCACCCCCGACCGGUCCCAAAAGUAAUGACGGCGUCCGUGGGACUCUCGGUGCAACGAGCUUUUCUAAGCACGCAACGAGUUGAAAGGUCCCCCGGCACGGUCCAUAACCCAAUUUUUACAA